UAUAAAGCGUGUGCUCUGUGCUGAGUCCACACAAAUCCAACCUCCAGAAUUUCAUUGCUUGGAAAUAUUUUAUUUAUUUGGAAAAGCCAGAGUCCACCAUGCGUCCUAUAACCUUAGCGAUAUUUUUCAUUGGACUGAUUGGAAUGUGUUCAAUGCUUCCUCUGACUGACAGUGACUCUGACGAGCUUCAAAGAAUUGAACGUUCAGCCAGCUUUGAGCGUUUUGGACGCUUUCCCUUCCGUGGAUAUGGCGGGGGCAGAUCUAGCCUCUUUUCCCUGCUGCUGCCCUUUCUGCUGAAAAGGCUGCUGCCCCCGGCAACCCCAGCCCCCGGCAAGUAACUGUGCCAACCAUCACCAUGCAGAGGGAGGAAAAUGCCAGUUCUUCUUCUACUGUCCGAUGCCCAGUGGCCACUGCUUGAUGUCAUUUGUAUUGCAAUUCAUUAAAUGUG